rnacentral:rRNA from 1 species
UACAGAGGGGGCAAGCGUUGCUCGGAAUUACUGGGCGUAAAGCGUGCGCAGGCGGUUGGCCGUGUCCGAUGUGAAAGCCCCGGGCUUAACCUGGGAAUGGCAUUGGAAACUGGCGAGCUUGAGUGUGGCAGAGGGGGGUGGAAUUCCGCGUGUAGCAGUGAAAUGCGUAGAGAUGCGGAGGAACACCGAUGGCGAAGGCAGCCCCCUGGGCCAACACUGACGCUCAGGCACGAAAGCGUGGGGAGCAAACAGG